UGAUGACAUCAAUUUUUUACCCAUUCUGCUCUGCUUUAGUCAUUUUUCUACUUGCGAUCAGAACACAGG
ensembl:ncRNA F01E11.19 ncRNA